rnacentral:rRNA from 1 species
CUCCAGACUCCUACGGGAGGCAGCAGUGGGGAAUAUUGCACAAUGGGGGAAACCCUGAUGCAGCGACGCCGCGUGAGCGAUGAAGUAUUUCGGUAUGUAAAGCUCUAUCAGCAGGGAAGAAAAUGACGGUACCUGACUAAGAAGCCCCGGCUAACUACGUGCCAGCAGCCGCGGUAAUACGUAGGGGGCAAGCGUUAUCCGGAUUUACUGGGUGUAAAGGGAGCGUAGACGGCUGCGCAAGUCAGAAGUGAAAGCCCGGGGCUCAACCGCGGGACUGCUUUUGAAACUGUGUAGCUAGAGUGCAGGAGAGGUAAGUGGAAUUCCUAGUGUAGCGGUGAAAUGCGUAGAUAUUAGGAGGAACACCGGUGGCGAAGGCGGCUUACUGGACUGUAACUGACGUUGAGGCUCGAAAGCGUGGGGAGCAAACAGGAUUAGAUACCCUUGUAG